rnacentral:rRNA from 1 species
UUAAGCGACUAAGCGUACACGGUGGAUGCCCUGGCAGUCAGAGGCGAUGAAGGACGUGCUAAUCUGCGAAAAGCGUCGGUAAGGUGAUAUGAACCGUUAUAACCGGCGAUGUCCGAAUGGGGAAACCCAGUGUGAUUCGUCACACUAUCGUUAACUGAAUACAUAGGUUAACGAGGCGAACCGGGGGAACUGAAACAUCUAAGUACCCCGAGGAAAAGAAAUCAACCGAGAUUCCCCCAGUAGCGGCGAGCGAACGGGGAGCAGCCCAGAGUCUGAAUCAGCUUGUGUGUUAGUGGAACGGUCUGGAAAGUCCGACGGUACAGGGUGAUAGUCCCGUACACCAAAAUGCACAGGCUGUGAACUCGAAGAGUAGGGCGGGACACGUGGUAUCCUGUCUGAAUAUGGGGGGACCAUCCUCCAAGGCUAAAUACUCCUGACUGACCGAUAGUGAACCAGUACCGUGAGGGAAAGGCGAAAAGAACCCCGGCGAGGGGAGUGAAAAAGAACCUGAAACCGUGUACGUACAAGCAGUGGGAGCACCUUCGGGUGUGACUGCGUACCUUUUGUAUAAUGGGUCAGCGACUUAUAUUCUGUAGCAAGGUUAACCGUAUAGGGGAGCCGCAGGGAAACCGAGUCUUAACUGGGCGUUAAGUUGCAGGGUAUAGACCCGAAACCCGGUGAUCUAGCCAUGGGCAGGUUGAAGGUUGGGUAACACUAACUGGAGGACCGAACCGACUAAUGUUGAAAAAUUAGCGGAUGACUUGUGGCUGGGGGUGAAAGGCCAAUCAAACCGGGAGAUAGCUGGUUCUCCCCGAAAGCUAUUUAGGUAGCGCCUCGUGAACUCAUCUUCGGGGGUAGAGCACUGUUUCGGCUAGGGGGUCAUCCCGACUUACCAACCCGAUGCAAACUACGAAUACCGAAGAAUGUUAUCACGGGAGACACACGGCGGGUGCUAACGUCCGUCGUGAAGAGGGAAACAACCCAGACCGCCAGCUAAGGUCCCAAAGUCAUGGUUAAGUGGGAAACGAUGUGGGAAGGCACAGACAGCCAGGAUGUUGGCUUAGAAGCAGCCAUCAUUUAAAGAAAGCGUAAUAGCUCACUGGUCGAGUCGGCCUGCGCGGAAGAUGUAACGGGGCUAAACCAUGCACCGAAGCUGCGGCAGCGACACUAUGUGUUGUUGGGUAGGGGAGCGUUCUGUAAGCCUGCGAAGGUGACCUGUGAGGGUUGCUGGAGGUAUCAGAAGUGCGAAUGCUGACAUAAGUAACGAUAAAGCGGGUGAAAAGCCCGCUCGCCGGAAGACCAAGGGUUCCUGUCCAACGUUAAUCGGGGCAGGGUGAGUCGACCCCUAAGGCGAGGCCGAAAGGCGUAGUCGAUGGGAAACAGGUUAAUAUUCCUGUACUUGGUGUUACUGCGAAGGGGGGACGGAGAAGGCUAUGUUAGCCGGGCGACGGUUGUCCCGGUUUAAGCAUGUAGGCUGGUUAUCCAGGCAAAUCCGGAUAAUCAAGGCUGAGGUGUGAUGACGAGGCACUACGGUGCUGAAGUAACAAAUGCCCUGCUUCCAGGAAAAGCCUCUAAGCAUCAGGUAACAUCAAAUCGUACCCCAAACCGACACAGGUGGUCAGGUAGAGAAUACCAAGGCGCUUGAGAGAACUCGGGUGAAGGAACUAGGCAAAAUGGUGCCGUAACUUCGGGAGAAGGCACGCUGGUGUGUAGGUGAAGCCCCUGCGGGUGGAGCUGAGACCAGUCGAAGAUACCAGCUGGCUGCAACUGUUUAUUAAAAACACAGCACUGUGCAAACACGAAAGUGGACGUAUACGGUGUGACGCCUGCCCGGUGCCGGAAGGUUAAUUGAUGGGGUUAUCCGUAAGGAGAAGCUCUUGAUCGAAGCCCCGGUAAACGGCGGCCGUAACUAUAACGGUCCUAAGGUAGCGAAAUUCCUUGUCGGGUAAGUUCCGACCUGCACGAAUGGCGUAAUGAUGGCCAGGCUGUCUCCACCCGAGACUCAGUGAAAUUGAACUCGCUGUGAAGAUGCAGUGUACCCGCGGCAAGACGGAAAGACCCCGUGAACCUUUACUAUAGCUUGACACUGAACAUUGAGCCUUGAUGUGUAGGAUAGGUGGGAGGCUUUGAAGCGUGGACGCCAGUCUGCGUGGAGCCAACCUUGAAAUACCACCCUUUAAUGUUUGAUGUUCUAACGUUGGCCCCUUACCGGGGUUGCGGACAGUGUCUGGUGGGUAGUUUGACUGGGGCGGUCUCCUCCCAAAGCGUAACGGAGGAGCACGAAGGUUAGCUAAUCCUGGUCGGACAUCAGGAGGUUAGUGCAAUGGCAUAAGCUAGCUUGACUGCGAGCGUGACGGCGCGAGCAGGUGCGAAAGCAGGUCAUAGUGAUCCGGUGGUUCUGAAUGGAAGGGCCAUCGCUCAACGGAUAAAAGGUACUCCGGGGAUAACAGGCUGAUACCGCCCAAGAGUUCAUAUCGACGGCGGUGUUUGGCACUGUUGUGGUCAAGUUUUUUUGGACACGCCGAUCAGAUGGUAGGGUUAUGCACAGGCGGGCAACUGGGCGGCAGGGCUGGCCAGCGUUUCGUACUGUGCGGGUGAUCGGUAGCCAAGUUUUGAAUGCAAUCGGGUACUGUUAUAAAAGUUAACGAUGUAGUCGGUGAUGUCUUGUUUGGCUUCUGUAUGGUUGGCAUACCGAGUCUGCCAGACACGCUCCAUUUUCAAAUUCAGAAAGAACCGCUCCAUCACGGCAUUGUCCCAGCAAUUACCCUUGCGGCUCAUGCUGAGUACCAGACCAUGGUUUUCAAGUAAUUGCCGGUGUUCAGCACUGGCAUAUUGACUGCCCCGGUCCGAAUGAACCAAUAAACCCGGUGCC